GCCCAGGUGGCGGAAUUGGUAGACGCGCUGGCUUCAGGUGCCAGUAGCUUAACGGCUGUGAAGGUUCGAGUCCUUUCCUGGGCA
rfam:Rhodopseudomonas palustris strain BAL398 c4204l2940c270.942505, whole genome shotgun sequence.